rnacentral:lncRNA from 1 species
GAACAAGAAGCCAUACCACCAUCCCAUCCAAGAGAGCUGACAGCAUGAAGGUCCUCCUGUUGCUAGCAGUUGUGAUCAUGGCCUUUGGUGCUGUGUGACUCAUGACUGUUGUUACAACCGUCUGGAGAAACGUGGAUGUGGCACAAAGUUUCUGACCUACAAGUUCUCCUACCGAGGGGGCCAAAUCUCCUGCUCUACAAACCAGGACUCCUGCCGGAAACAGCUGUGCCAGUGCGAUAAAGCUGCCGCUGAAUGUUUUGCCCGGAACAAGAAAAGCUACAGUUUAAAGUACCAGUUCUACCCCAACAAGUUUUGCAAAGGGAAGACGCCCAGUUGCUGAAAGAGACAUCUUCUGAAACAUCCAGACAUCCUCUAACACCUCUCCUAGCCCAACCAAGUUCCCCAGUGAUCAAGAAAACACCCCUCUCCAACCCUAGAAGCAGGCGGGCCCUUCUGUCUUCACCCAGAAGGAGCCGCUGAAGCCUGAUCUUUCCCCAACACUCCACAGCCUUGGAUCCGCCCACUUUUCCCUUGGCAUCCAACUUCCUGCUGCGUAGUACCUAAGAGGGUCCUGAGAGGCUCUCGCAAGUAAAGCAAUUCAUCAAC